rnacentral:rRNA from 1 species
AUUGAACGCUGGCGGCAUGCUUUACACAUGCAAGUCGAGCGGCAGCGCGGGGCAACCUGGCGGCGAGCGGCGAACGGGUGAGUAAUGCAUCGGAACAUGUCCAUGUCGUGGGGGAUAGCCCGGCGAAAGCCGGAUUAAUACCGCAUACGACCUGAGGGUGAAAGCGGGGGAUCGCAAGACCUCGCGCUAUUGGAGCGGCCGAUAUCAGAUUAGGUAGUUGGUGGGGUAAAAGCCUACCAAGCCUACGAUCUGUAGCUGGUCUGAGAGGACGACCAGCCACACUGGGACUGAGACACGGCCCAGACUCCUACGGAGGCAGCAGUGGGGAAUUUUGGACAAUGGGCGCAAGCCUGAUCCAGCCAUGCCGCGUGCGGGAAGAAGGCC